rnacentral:rRNA from 1 species
UACGUAGGGGGCAGGCGUUAUCCGGAUUUACUGGGUGUAAAGGGAGCGCAGACGGCUUAGCAAGUCUGAAGUGAAACCCCACGGCUCAACCGUGGGCUUGAUUUGGAAACUGCUUAGCUAGAGUACUGGAGAGGUAAGCGGAAUUCCUAGUGUAGCGGUGAAAUGCGUAGAUAUUAGGAGGAACAUCGGUGGCGAAGGCGGCUUACUGGACAGCAACUGACGUUGAGGCUCGAAGGCGUGGGGAGCAAAC